rnacentral:rRNA from 1 species
UACGGGGGGAGCAAGCGUUGUUCGGAUUUACUGGGCGUAAAGGGCGCGUAGGCGGUCAGCACAAGUCAGUUGUGAAAUCUCCGGGCUUAACUCGGAAAGGUCAACUGAUACUGUGCGACUAGAGUGCAGAAGGGGCAACUGGGAAUUCUCGGUGUAGCGGUGAAAUGCGUAGAUAUCAGGAGGAACACCGGUGGCGAAGGCGGGUCUCUGGGCCGAUACUGACGCUGAGGAGCGAAAGCGUGGGGAGCGAACAGG